rnacentral:rRNA from 1 species
UAGGGAAUCUUCCACAAUGGACGCAAGUCUGAUGGAGCAACGCCGCGUGAGUGAAGAAGGGCUUCGGCUCGUAAAGCUCUGUUGUUAAAGAAGAACGUGGGUAAGAGUAACUGUUUACCCAGUGACGGUAUUUAACCAGAAAGCCACGGCUAACUACGGUGUCAG